ACUCCAGGGCUCAAGCAAUACACCUACCUUGGCCUCUCAAUGCGUUAAGAUUAAAGGUGUGAUCCACUGACCCUGGCCUGAUGGAUGACGCCAAUCACCAUGGCACGUGUAUACCUAGGCCCUCCUGAAUAACAUCCUUCCUUGAAGAGUCUGGGAGUUUUGAUGAAUCUGCAGUCAG